ensembl:processed_transcript Gm10575 predicted gene 10575
AGAGUAGCUGUGGGAGGUACAGCUCAGAAUGCGCCUGUUUGUAGAUACCAGAAUGGCUAGGAAGUUGUGAAUGAAAGGCACAGGCUUUCAUAAGGUCUCAGGGCACCCUGAAGAGGGUCUCCAGGUGACUGGGACCUGCUCACCCAGGCCUAGACAGAACUCCCGGGCUGUGAGGAAGCCAGUGUGGGCCUGGUCCAGACUUUCAAAUACAGCCUCCAGCUGUUCAGGCGUAAGUGGAAGAUCACUCUGCAGACCCUGACCAGGCAAGAAGGACCACGGCACGGUCACCACCCCACCAACCGCUCCAGUGUUCCUCGGGACCGGAGGUCCAUCCUGGCCGGAAGCCGCGCUGCCGCCAGGCUCCAGGGAGUCCAGACGAAAGGCAGCGGGUGGGCCCACAGGCAAAUCUCAUCCACGCACGUCUGGGCUAGCUGCCUUCACCCGAGGAACACAGCCGUUCCAGACAGAGAUGCGUGCGAUGGCUGCUCUACACAGCGCUCGGAAGGUGCGACCACUGGAGCUAGGGGCCCGGGGUUGGGGGUGGGGAAGCCCAGAGGGCGCGGCGCUGGGACCCCAGUCGCGGGACCUGCGAGCAAAUAAAUGCCUACCUGCGAGCCGCGCC